rnacentral:rRNA from 1 species
UAGGGAAUCUUCGGCAAUGGGGGCAACCCUGACCGAGCAACGCCGCGUGAGUGAAGAAGGUUUUCGGAUCGUAAAGCUCUGUUGUAAGAGAAGAACGGGUAUGAGAGUGGAAAGCUCAUACUGUGACGGUAUCUUACCAGAAAGGGACGGCUAACUACGUGCCAGCAGCCGCGGUAAUACGUAGGUCCCGAGCGUUAUCCGGAUUUAUUGGGCGUAAAGCGAGCGCAGGCGGUUAGAUAAGUCUGAAGUUAAAGGCUGUGGCUUAACCAUAGUAUGCUUUGGAAACUGUUUAACUUGAGUGCAGAAGGGGAGAGUGGAAUUCCAUGUGUAGCGGUGGAAUGCGUAGAUAUAUGGAGGAACACCGGUGGCGAAAGCGGCUCUCUGGUCUGUAACUGACGCUGAGGCUCGAAAGCGUGGGUAGCGAACAGGAUUAGAUACCC